rnacentral:lncRNA from 1 species
AUGUUUUUUGUCAUGAGGAAUAUAUAUAUCAAUAGCAUAUCAUUGAAUACCAAUAAUUUGUGUUAACACAUGUGGAAGAAUAUCCUGAGAACGUUUUGCAACAUAAGUGGGAAAAUAUGAAUGAGUACUCAAAUCCUAUCAAUUAGAAAAAUGAAUUAUAACAGAAGAGUAUCAGUAGAAUAGAAUGACAAACAAAUGCAUGGGGAAUCCAGGGGGGGGCCUAGACACCCUCUUUGUGGGGAAAAUUUGGUUGACUAUAUAGCUAUAUAGGGAAUCACUGAAUGGAACGAGCUUCCUCUUAAGGCAGCCCUUAUAAAAAUUUAUGGAUCAUUGCAAAAGGAUUAAAAUUUAUAUGUAGAGGUAUUUUGAUGAUCUGCUAUAUAUAUAUAACUUUCUAUACAAUUUAAUAUGAUAUAUAACAACGAACAUGAGUAUACUGAUAACAAAUGAUUAUAUCACUACAAUAUAAUAG